UUCGAUGUACGCAGUCUGAUGAGCAUGCCGCGUGAGUGAGAAGGCCUUCGGAUCGUAAAGCUCUGUUGUCAGGGAGACAGUGAGAAGAGGAUAUGCUUUUUCUAUGACGGUACCUGACCAGAAAGCCACGGCUAACUACGUGCCAGCAGCCGCGGUAAUAC
rnacentral:rRNA from 1 species